rnacentral:lncRNA from 1 species
AUCCCGAUCGUCUUCUAGCUGUGGGCUCACAGAAGAUCCUAAAGACGCUAGGGAGGGGCGGCGCACGGAUCCCCAUCCUGAUCUGGUGGGGGAGGAUUUCGCUUUUGGCCGAAAGGUGGUAGGGGUUUCGGUGGCUGCAUCCUCGCCGACCACAUGGUGCACCUCCGAAUCUCCAGGCCCGUUUGGUAAGGGUUUCCCUUCUGAUAGGAGCGCCGCAGGCUGGGACUCGCAUCUAGAUCUGCUUUUCGAGCACCUAUGGACGGCGAAAGCUCGGCGAACUUCCUUCGGUGGUGGGUGGCGUGUGCAGCCGAUUCGACCCCUGCCGGAUCAUCUGGUGUGGCUGCGGGCGGGGAUUGGCGGAGGUGAGUGCUCAUCAAACAUCUUCCCUCGAUCGUUCUCGGUUGUGG